rnacentral:misc_RNA from 1 species
AACGCAUAUUGCGCUCGAGGCUUCGGCCGAGAGCAUGUCUGCCUCAGCGUCGGGUUAAUACUCACACCCACACACCGUGUGACACAUGUAUACAUGUGUGUGUGGGCGUGGACCUGGCUGUUCCACAAUGUGCCGGGUGCCACACGACCACCGUGUGGGGCUCAAUGAGGCACGUGGAUCAGCUGAAGCGCAGAGGCUAGCCAAGGACCCGUGAAGGGCCGCAACUGGGUAGGCAGCUCACACGACAGCUCCACUCAUGCUUAGUUGUUGGCCUGGGUGACUGUGGCUCGGCCCUCCAACAGGAAGUGAUGACCUCACAUAUACUUAUUUCCUCGACCUGAGCUCAGGCAAGAACACCCGCUGAACUUAA